rnacentral:ncRNA from 1 species
UCAUCGAAAAGGCAAAGCCGCCGAAAGGCGACGACGCAAAGCCGCGGGUCUAAGGUCUGGGCAAAUCGCCAGGCUAUGAUCGCCGGGCCGCCGAA